UACGGAGGAUGCAAGCGUUAUCCGGAAUGAUUGGGCGUAAAGCGUCCGCAGGUGGCAAUGUAAGUCUGCUGUCAAAGCGUCUGGCUCAACCAGAUAAAGGCAGUGGAAACUACAUAGCUAGAGUAAGGUAGGGGUAGAGGGAAUUCCUGGUGUAGCGGUGAAAUGCGUAGAGAUCAGGAAGAACACCGGUGGCGAAAGCGCUCUGCUGGACCUGCACUGACACUGAGGGACGAAAGCUAGGGGAGCGAAAGGG
rnacentral:rRNA from 1 species